rnacentral:lncRNA from 1 species
GAGAUUCCCUGCUUACCUGAGGAUCUUACAGGCCUUCUGUGUUCUGUGAUUCCUAUGGCAACGUAAGCUACUGAGAAAAACAAGAGCCCUGAAGAAAGGAUCCAUUUCAAGAGGUUGAAAAUGGAAACUAAUGACUCAAGCAUCAAGAGGGAUGGCCAAGGCAGAAAAAAUUGACAACAGUCAGCAAAGCUGUAUCGUAAAAAAGAUGAAGGAACAUAAAAGAAUAAAGGGAAAACUUAACAUUUAUAUAUUUGAUAGGAACAAGACCCAAUGAUAAUGAUUUUUUUUUAACGGUCCUGCAUGUGUAUACAUGAGCUAUCUGUACCAACAAACUGGCAAAUAGUAAAUACAAUCAAUUUUAAAGGACUGAAGGUGACUGAAGGAGGCCUCACUGUUUCCUGGCCUCCAGGCAAUGCAUUUUUAAAAUAGAAAUUGUUUCCUACUGCUCUUUCACAAGG